rnacentral:rRNA from 1 species
AUUGAACGCUGGCGGCAGGCCUAACACAUGCAAGUCGAGCGAGCGGCGGACGGGUGAGUAAUGGCUGGGAAACUGCCGGAUGGAGGGGGAUAACUACUGGAAACGGUAGCGAAUAACGCAUAACAUCAGAUUUGCCCAGAUGGGAUUAGCUAGUAGGUGGGGUAACGGCUCACCUAGGCGACGAUCCCUAGCUGGUCUGAGAGGAUGACCAGCCACACUGGAACUGAGACACGGUCCAGCCUCCUACGUGAGGCAGCAGUGGGGAAUAUUGCCCAAUGGGCGCAAGCCUGAUCCAGCCAUGCCGCUUGUGUGAAGAAGGCUUUCGGGUUGUAAAGCACUUUCAGCGGGGAGGCGUUACCCGCAGAAGAAGCACCGGCUAACUCCGUGCCAGCAGCCGCGGUAAUUC